GGGCCAAUGAGUUCCGAAGCUACAGAGACGGAAAAUCCAAAGGAAAAGACACAGCGGGCUCGAUAAGGAGUCUCUCCAGCGACGCGACGGGCUCAAUGAUGAAGGAACGGGAGCACGCAGCAGCGCAGCGAGGUGUUCGGGUUUUUUUUGUUUGUUUGUUUUGUUUUGUUUUUUUCAGUUUUCUUGGAAUUGUCCUGAUCAGCACGAAGUUUCCGGAUUAAACUGUCGCAAGGUGAGUUGUUGCUUAGCACUUAAAUAUGUAUGUUCUCAUAAAAUGUGACCAUGUGACUAUGUAAUGCAUGUGUAAAUAC